UACGUAGGGGACAAGCGUUGUCCGGAAUUACUGGGCGUAAAGCGUGCGUAGGCGGUUCGUUAUGUCUGCUGUGAAAGCCCCGGGCUUAACCUGGGAAUGGCAGUGGAAACUGGCGGGCUUGAGUGUGGCAGAGGGGGGUGGAAUUCCGCGUGUAGCAGUGAAAUGCGUAGAGAUGCGGAGGAACACCGAUGGCGAAGGCAGCCCCCUGGGCUGACACUGACGCUGAGGCACGAAAGCGUGGGGAGCAAACAGG
rnacentral:rRNA from 1 species